rnacentral:rRNA from 1 species
AGCGUUGGCCGGAAUUAUUGGGCGUAAAGAGUGCGUAGGCGGUUUGUCGCGUCGUUUGUGAAAACCCGGGGCUCAACUUCGGGCUUGCAGGCGAUACGGGCAGACUUGAGUGUUUCAGGGGAGACUGGAAUUCCUGGUGUAGCGGUGAAAUGCGCAGAUAUCAGGAGGAACACCGGUGGCGAAGGCGGGUCUCUGGGAAACAACUGACGCUGAGGAACGAAAGCGUGGGUAGCAAACAGG